UAUAAGCCCCUCUGUUAACUUUUGUUCAAGCCUGUCUAGAUCUUUUAUCAGUCUAGAAAGAUGUUGGAGAAAAGACAUCAUCCUCUUCUAUAAUCUCCAUCUGUAAUUGGACUAACAACUGGACCAGUGAAUGCAGGCAACUUACUCUCCAUUCGACCUUGCAGGUCACACCAUGGUCUCAAGAGGGAAAAUGAGUGCUCUAUGGAUUGAACAGAAAAGGAGAAUCAAAACUCCAACCAUCUGUAUGAGGGUCUGGAUGGAUAAAGGAUGCCCACUGGAGCUGGAAAUGAUGGAUCAGGUCAUUUUCAUUUGUCACAUUUACAAAGAAGCACACUCUAAGGAUUGCGUUACCCUGUCUGUGGCAAAUACACUAGACAAAAGUAUUGGGAGGCCUCAUUCUAAUAAACAUGUUUAUUUAUUCCAGUGUUUCCAAUCAAAACAAAUAUAAAUGCUAUACCAUAUAAUACCACUACAAAGAGUUUUGUUUUUUCAUUUUUGUUGCAACAGUUUUGUAAGUGCCUUUUUCUGUUCCGAAAUGACUACAGCUUCUUGUACAAGUCAUUGAUAGGUUUAAGUGAUGAGUUUUGGGCUAAAAACCUUAAAGUUAAGUUAAGGUCUGGGCUUUAUUCAGACCAGUCAAAGUUCUUCCACACCAGACUGAAUCACUCAUUUUCUGUUUGAACCUUACUUUGUUUGUAGGGUCAUUCUUAAGUUGGUAUUGAAAAGGGCCCUGCCAAAACACUUGCUAUAAAUUUAGCAUCAAACGGUUUUUCUAGAAUAUCAUAUGCUGUAGCAUUAAGAUUUGUGCUCAUGGAAAUAAGUAAAGUAUUUAAACCUGUUUAUUAGAAGGAGGCGUCGCAAUAGUUAUGUCUAUAUAGUUUAUGUUUAACAAGCCAAAAUAACCAGGGCUGCUUCUUUUUAAGAACUUUUGGGUAUUUUUAAAUCAGACAGAGGAAUAACAGUCCUUAAAUGUGUAAUGUACUGCCAUAAUUUCGUAAUGAUCAAAAGUGAGGUCAGAUUCUUGUUAACCUACUGUGUUCUUUCUUGAUGGUUAGCCGAGGGUCCCAGGACAGAAAAUCUGUUUCGUAUGGAUCAGAGUCAGACAUUAACAUCUAAUAUGUAAUAUCUAGUGAUAUGUUUUCUUAGAUAAUGCUGUGAACAAAUGCUCUUUUACCUUGAAUAUUAGGUGGAUCCACACUUGAACCAUCUGUAUGAUGAUCUGCACCCACUGGAUCUGUAAAUGGUGGUGCAGGUUUCUGAAUUGAUGUCAGAUGCAAAGCAGAAGUUUAUUUUCUUCCAGUUUGGCUUCAUUGUGGAAAAAUGCUGGAAACUAAAAUGCAGAAUUCUGGCCUGGUGUUUGGUCCACCCUUUGUGUCUCCAUCAUCAUUACACUCUUGUCAGUGUAAUAGUAUCGUCGUCUGCGUACCAGGACUUUGUUUCUCAGCUGUCCCUUCUCCUUCAAGCUACAUUUUUGUCAAGCUGCAACAAGUUGGAAUACAUAAUUAUUAACGUUUAAGGAUUUUGAUGUAUGAAAUAUGUAACAAAAGCAAAAAAUGUACAGACAUUCUAUUAAGAAAUUACCUUUUUGUUGUUUGUUUACUGACCUUUCAACCAUAUUGCAUUUAUAAUUGAUCAUCAUACCUUUGGUCUACUGUUAACAGGCUACUGUAGAAAACUUUGAAUAAAGUCAAAAAAAAGAGAAAAAAUUAUAAAUGCUGAAUGUGUCUCAUCUUAAAUACAUUGUUGUUGUUUUUUUCAUUGAAUUUGGAUGUUUUGAUGAUUUAAGGAAAAUUUACGUAGCAUAUAUAUUGAUGUUUUAAUUCAGAGUUUGUUAAUGACACUUAAUCAUUAACAAACAUUUAAAAAGGUUUAUUACAAUACUAAUUGAUAAUAUUAAAUUAAUGUAAUAAUCUUGUUUUGUUACACCCUAAAUCACUGAGCGCACAAACGCUACCCCAGUUACAAGCAUGGGUGGUUGACUUCAUGCAGACAUGCGCAGACAUCGAAGUACCGCGAGAGUGAUUCAAAAGCCCACGAAACAGUGUAAUCACGCGGUACUGUGACGUCAUACUGGUUAACGCUAAGCCACGUGAAGCCGGACACAAGGGCUGCACUAAUCUUUGGGCUGGAGUAGCAUGUGGCUUACGUGUCUCGUCGCAGAACGAUUUAUUUCUCUUUUUCACCUCGAUCUUUGGCCUCUUGUGAUUUAACAAAACCAACAUGUGAAGUUACAACGCUGACGAAGGAGUUUAAUCAGUAACGUUAGAGAGUGUCCUGGUAAACGUGUGCUUGGAAACAUGCAGAUUACAGUAUUUACAGAGCCGACCUUGAGGCUAUUUUUUUUGCAUGACAUCCACUGAUGGAUAAUCUGUUUACCUAAAAACAGCACUUCAGGAGAAACCUGCCUGUGAUCUGCUAAGAUGCACAGAUUCAACUCUGGCCCAUUGUCAUCCCAACACCUUAUCUGCCAUCAGUUUCGUUUAGUGUCGAUCUAUUGCAAAAGUUCUUAUAAACUUUAAAUGAGACUUUGUGUUAAGCAGGGGUUUCCAAACUUUUAAUUUCACAACAUAUUAAGCCCAGGAUACACAGCAGGAUUUUUGCAAUCCAAUAAGACCUUAUCACACUGUGUGACAAGAAUUGUUUAAACUUUAGCAGUAGACUGUCGAUGAAGACACCUAUUGCAUCUGAGGCUGCGACAUCCGUCAUCAGCAUGCGCUAGUGGUAAACAAAUACAGGUAUGCAGGUCGUAGAAGCAAACACGUUGUUGAUGUGCGUUGAUCAUGCUGAACUUCUUACACUGUCAUAAAACUAUCGUAGGUGUCUUUGGUCCCAGGACUGGGAAAAGAGGUCUUUAAACCUCUCACACUGUAUGAGAUAGGACCACCAAUUAAGAGCCACGAUCACAGAAAUCUCCACGAUUGUUUCACGAUUGGUAAUCUUUCAUCUGGGACAGCCAAAAAUCGUGCCGUGUAUUAUGGGCUUUAGACAUGUGUAAUCUUAUAGUAUAUCAAAACCAUUGCUAAUAAUUAAUUGGACAAACCAUCACUACAAUGCAACACUCGCUAUCUUACGGUGCGACCCACAAGUGGGUCUUCACCCACAGCUUAAAAACCCUGAGUAUGAGUAAGAGUAUGUUGUAUUGUAAUUAAAGUCACAUCUUAGUGUUAUGGAGCAGUUUGUCAUUAUAUUCACAGUAUUACAUGGUUCUUUCAGCAGUUUCUACGUUACAAUGCUCUUAAAGUGUCCUGAUCAGCUUUGGGUCUUGUGAAGUAAUGUAAUGAGAAUGUGAUCAAUAGCUUUGCAGUAUUUUUGGUUAAACAUUUUAUUCAAAUUUGGUAAACAAUCUAGUCAAUAUAAUUCAUGCUGUGAUGCUGGAUUAAACCUGGUCAAAUGAA